rnacentral:rRNA from 1 species
UCAUAGCGACUAUCGUGGCAUAUCAAUAAGCGGAGGAAAAGAAACUAACAAGGAUUCCCUUAGUAACGGCGAGUGAAGCGGGAAGAGCUCAAAUUUGAAAUCUUCAAGGUUCUACCUUGACGAAUUGUAGUUUAUAGAAGUGUUUUCUGUUAGUAGGAGUGGCAAAAGUUCUUUGGAAUAGGACAUCAUAGAGGGUGAGAAUCCCGUAUUUGGUCAUUCCUUCCUAGCGUUGUGAUACACUUUCAACGAGUCGGAUUGUUUGGGAAUGCAGUCCAAAAUGGGUGGUAAAUUUCAUCUAAAGCUAAAUAUUGGCGAGAGACCGAUAGCGAACAAGUACCGUGAGGGAAAGAUGAAAAGAACUUUGAAAAGAGAGUUAAACAGUACGUGAAAUUGUCAAAAGGGAAGCGUUUGACACCAGUGUUGUUUUUCCGAAAAUCAAUUACGAAUGUUUUGUUUUUGAGGAGUUAUGACUUCAUCGGCUUGCUCCUUUCUUUACGAAACUUUCUUAAUGCACUUUUCGGUUAACAAGUCAACAUCAAUUUCUUUUGUUGUAAAAGGGUACUGAGGAAGGUGGCUUUCUUUUCGGAGAAAGUGUCUAUAGCCUUGUAGCCUCUGCAAUCGGAGAGAUUGAGGUCUGCAGCGUAGAUCCUUCGGGGUUAGAUACAGUUUGUGCUAAGUUAUAGCUUUUCAUAGACAACUUGUUGACUAUGUUUAGUCUUGUAGCUUACUCGCUGAUGCUAUUUUACCUACGCUUAGGAUGUUGAUAGUCACAGCGUGUAC